rnacentral:rRNA from 1 species
GAUGAACGCUAGCGGCAGGCUUAAUACAUGCAAGUCGAGGGGCAGCACAGGGUAGCAAUACCUGGGUGGCGACCGGCAAACGGGUGCGGAACACGUACAGAACCUACCUUCGAGCGGGGGAUAGCCCAGAGAAAUUUGGAUUAAUACCCCAUAGUAUAUUUGGAUGGCAUCAUUUGAAUAUUAAAGAUUUAUCACUUGAAGAUGGCUGUGCGUAUGAUUAGGUAGUUGGCGGGGUAACGGCCCACCAAGCCUACGAUCAUUAACUGGUGUGAGAGCACGACCAGUCACACGGGCACUGAGACACGGGCCCGACUCCUACGGGUGGCAG